rnacentral:rRNA from 1 species
GACGAACGCUGGCGGCGUGCUUAACACAUGCAAGUCGAACGGAAAGGCCCUGCUUUUGUGGGGUGCUCGAGUGGCGAACGGGUGAGUAACACGUGAGUAACCUGCCCUUGACUCUGGGAUAACUUCACGAAACUGGGGCUAAUACCGGAUAGGAGCUCCUGCUGCAUGGUGGGGGUUGGAAAGUUUCGGCGGUUGGGGCUGGACUCGCGGCGUAUCAGCUUGUUGGUGGGGUAGUGGCUUACCAAGGCUUUGACGGGUAGCCGGCCUGAGAGGGUGACCGGCCACAUUGGGACUGAGAUACGGGCCAGACUCCUACGGGAGGCAGCAGUGGGGAAUAUUGCACAAUGGGCGGAAGCCUGAUGCAGCAACGCCGCGUGCGGGAUGACGGCCUUCGGGUUGUAAACCGCUUUCGCCUGUGACGAAGCGUGAGUGACGGUAAUGGGUAAAGAAGCACCGGCUAACUACGUG